GGAGGGUGCAAGCGUUAUCCGGAUUCACUGGGGUUUAAAGGGGUGCGUAGGCGGGGUAUUUAAGUCAGUGGUGAAAUCCUAGAGCUUAACUCUAGAACUGCCAUUGAUACUAUUUAUCUUGAAUAUUGUGGAGGUAAGCGGAAUAUGUCAUGUAGCGGUGAAAUGCUUAGAUAUGACAUAGAACACCUAUUGCGAAGGCAGCUUACUACGCAUAUAUUGACGCUGAGGCACGAAAGCGUGGGAUCAAACAGGAUUAGAUACCCUGGUAGUCCACGCCCUAAACGAUGGAUACUCGACAUACGCGAUACACUGUGUGUGUCUGAGCGAAAGCAUUAAGUAUCCCACCUGGGAAGUACGACCGCAAGGUUG
rnacentral:rRNA from 1 species